UACAGAGGUCCCAAGCGUUGUUCGGAUUCACUGGGCGUAAAGGGUGCGUAGGUGGCUUUGCAAGUCUGAUGUGAAAUCUCCGGGCCCAACCCGGAAAUGGCAUCGGAAACUGUGAGGCUUGAGGCUUGGAGGGGGAACUGGAAUUCUCGGUGUAGCAGUGAAAUGCGUAGAGAUCGAGAGGAACACCAGUGGCGAAGGCGAGUCCCUGGACAGGUCCUGACGCUGAGGCACGAAAGCUAGGGGAGCAAACAGG
rnacentral:rRNA from 1 species